rnacentral:rRNA from 1 species
AGAGUUUGAUCCUGGCUCAGGACGAACGCUGGCGGCGUGCUUAACACAUGCAAGUCGAACGGAAAGGCCCUUCGGGGUACUCGAGUGGCGAACGGGUGAGUAACACGUGGGUGAUCUGCCCUGCACUUUGGGAUAAGCCUGGGAAACUGGGUCUAAUACCGAAUAUGACCACGCUCUUCAUGGGGUGUGGUGGAAAGCUUUUGCGGUGUGGGAUGGGCCCGCGGCCUAUCAGCUUGUUGGUGGGGUAAUGGCCUACCAAGGCGACGACGGGUAGCCGGCCUGAGAGGGUGACCGGCCACACUGGGACUGAGAUACGGCCCAGACUCCUACGGGAGGCAGCAG